rnacentral:rRNA from 1 species
CCAUUCCGAACAGAGAAGUUAAGUCCUCCUGCGCCGAUGGUACUGCUUGGGUGACCUUGUGGGAGAGUAGGUCGCUGCCGGGA